CAAUAUCACAUAUAACUUCAUUCAUGAUCUUUUCUUUUGAAAUCCUUCUCUUUUUCGGGUACCCUUGAAGUGUGGUACUUGACUGAUAGCAAUAGGCUUUGGUUUUCGGAACCUGUUCAUCAUAUUUGGCCAAUAGAUAAUACGGGGUUUCCAUACCGGCCUUUCGACCUCAGGUAUUAGCCGUAUUUUAUUUCAUUAAUUGUGGGUUUUCCAUACUGGUCUUUCGACCUCAGGUAUUUGCCACCAUGUGUUGGGUCCGCCGGUCCCUCCCGCGUCCCUUGCCUACCCGACCAUCAAUAUAGUACCAUACUCCCAUUUUCGAAAACAUAUGCUUUCAUAUCCCUAUGACUCAUCAAUCGUUCAAACAUCGUGAAGAACAGGUAGGAAAAGUCACAUUAAACCACACAUAAUUAGGUUCUUAUGAUGAGCAAAUGAAUGCUUCAACUUACCUCAAGUUCAAUAUGGUGUAUGAAGUGAAUAGAUCAGUCUCAUAUAGGUUGUGCUAGAGUCCUUGAUUAGAGAUGAAUUCAAACAUCAAAACUUAGGAUUUUCAGCUAGAAAAGGUGCAUAACUUGUUCUAGCUCUACUUCUAGGAGUUCUUGUAGUUUGAUGUUCUCUUAUGCGAGUACGGAAGUUAAGAAAUAUGAAGAGUAGCUUAAGUAAAUUGGUCUGGUUGUUUUUGGAAGAAGACAAGUGAAAAUGAAGAUAAAAACACAAAGUCUUCACUUAUCUACCCAUUCCCAACAAGGCCAAAUGGAGGAUGAUGAUUGGAAGGCUUGCUUUUGCUGGAUUCAUGUGGUUCCUCCAGGUUUUUCUAGCUUGAGAUAAGAUAUGGGCUGAUGCUUACUCAUUAUAAUCAAGUGUAAACAAUUUGAGAAUGGUCUUGUGCAACCUAGUCAACCAACCAAUCAAAUUGCACCCUUUUGCAUACUUUUGGUUUUAGUCUAAUAUGAGUUACUCAAGUAAUUAUAUAUGUAAUUAAUCAUAUUAAAAUGUAAUUAAAAUGCUGAAAUGCAUCUAAGACAAAUAUAUCACCGUUUAGCAUAUUGAUCCCUUCUUAACCGAGAAACUUAACUUCUCACUACAAUAAAUCAUUUAAGUUAAUGUUAAAUCAUAAAGUAGAUGUUAAAUAACAUGUAUCAUGUAUUAUCACAGUUUAAGAAAAGUAUUCGAUCACGUAUUAAAACACAAUUAAGGCAAAUGUGUAGCAAGUAGUCGUGAUCAUGCAUCAUGAAUAAUGAAUUAUAACUAUAUGCAUUGAUGCAAUAUGCUUAUUAUUGGCCAUGUAUGGAUGGUUGGGCAUUACAAUUCUUCCCUCCUUAUAAAAUUUCGCCCUCGAAAUUUGACGUACCGAACAAUUUUGGAUAUUUUCUAUGCAACAUAUAAAUCAAAUGUUAGAGUAGGUGACCAACAAGCCAACUUGUGGUUGUGGUCUUUCUCUUUUCCUUGUAAUCACGAUUCUACUAGAUCAACUCACAGUAAUAGAGUAACUCGUUAGGACUAUAUCUAUGCUGCUUGCAUGGGAUAACAGAUAUAGAAUGCCAAAUAAGAUAUUUUAUUAUUACGAACGAAAAACGAUUGUUUUAUUACAAGAUAAAAGGAAAGACCACAGCCACAAGUUGGCUUGCUGGUCACCUACUCUAACAAUCUCCCACUUGACCUAAAGCCAACUACUCAUAAAUCUAAGUCCCAUCGACUCUCGAUGUUUCUCGUGGACUGAUCCUGACAAUGGCUUGGUGAAGGGAUCUGCAAUAUUGUCCUCCGAGGUGACUCUGUCUAGCUUGACUUCACCUCUCUCUAUGAUCUCUCGGAUCACAUGGUAUUUUCUCAACACGUGCUUCGACUUCUGAUGAGCUCUUGGUUCCUUAGCUUGCGCUACGGCUCCGUUGUUAUCGCAGUACAGCCGUACUGGAUCGCUAGCGUUCGGAAAUACACCCAACUCUUGGAUGAAUUUCCUAAUCCAUGACCCUUCCUUUGAAGCAUCUGAUGCUGCAAUAUAUUCAGCCUCGGUGGUGGAAUCAGCCGUUGUGCCUUGCUUGGAACUCUUCCAACACACGGCACCUCCGUUGACUUUGAAUAUAUACCCCGAGUUUGACUUUGAGUCAUCCACGUCCGAUUGAAAACUAGAAUCCGUGAAGCCUUCUAAUUUCAACUCGGUAUCCCCAUAGACCAAAAACAAAUCUCGAGUUCUUCGCAAGUACUUGAGAAUGUCCUUCACAGCCUUCCAAUGGGCUGGGCCGGGGUCGGACUGAUAUCUGCUUGUGAUGCUCACAGCAUACGCAAUAUCAGGUCGUGUACAUAGCAUGCCAUACAUUAUGCUUCCUAUAGCGGAUGCAUAAGGUGUCCUUUUCAUCUCCUCGAUUUCCAUUUGCGUUUGAGGACGCAUGGAUUUCGAGAGACGAACCCCAUGGGACAUUGGCAAGAAUCCCUUCUUGGAUUCUUCCAUGCUAAACCGUUUAAGAACGGUGUCUAUGUACAUGGAUUGGGACAAGCCAAGCAAUCUCCUCGAACUAUCUCUAUAGAUCCGUAUUCCCAAUACGUAGGAUGCUUCUCCCAAAUCCUUCAUCGAGAAACGUGUGGAUAACCAUACUUUAGUCGACUGCAACAUCCCUACAUCAUUCCCAAUGAGUAGUAUGUCAUCAACAUAAAGUACAAGGAAAGUCACUGCACUCCCACUAACCUUCUUGUAGACACAAGGUUCCUCCGGGUUUUUCACAAAUUCAAACUCUUUGAUAGUUGUGUCGAACCUUUUGUUCCAACUACGGGAUGCUUGUUUCAAUCCAUAAAUGGAUCGCUGGAGUUUGCAAACCUUUUGCUCAUCUCCAGAAGAUAUGAAGCCUUCCGGCUGCGCCAUGUAAAUUUCUUCCUCAAUGUCCCCAUUAAGGAAAGCGGUCUUCACAUCCAUUUGCCAUAUCUCGUAGUCAUACCACGCAGAGAUGGCCAGCAAAAUCCUAAUGGACUUAAGCAUAGCAACUGGAGAGAAGGUUUCCUCAUAGUCAACUCCUUGCUUUUGAGUAUAACCCUUCGCUACCAAUCUAGCCUUGUAGGUCGAUACCUUUCCAUCUACUCCAAUUUUCUUCUUAUAGAUCCACUUGCAGCCUAUGGGAACAAUUCCCUCAGGUGGAUCUACCAAGGUCCAUACCUUGUUGGAGUACAUAGAGUCCACUUCGGAUUUCAUGGCAUUUAGCCAAUGUCCCUUGUCUGUAUCCGAUACAGCUUCGUUGAAAGUUCUAGGAUCACAUCCUUGGUCAACUUCAUCAACGAGGAAUAACCUAUCGGGCGCUCUCCGAACUCUUUCGGAUCUACGCAGCGACGGUUCAGGAGGUAUAUUAGUGGUUUGUUGAAUUGGUUCAUUAUCUGAUUGUUGUGCUUGAACUUCAGAUUGUGGUUCUCGAACUUCUUCGAGAUCAACUACACUGCCCUUUCUAUCCGAUAGAAAUUCCUUCUCAAGGAACACGGCAUUUCUCGAGACGAACACCUUUGCCUCGGAAACAUAGUAGAAUUCGUAUCCCAUAGAAUCAUCGGGAUACCCCACAAAAUAGCAUAGGUCGGAUUUUGUAUCCAACUUAUCUCCCACUAGCCGCUUCACGUAAGUGGGACAACCCCAUAUCCUAAUAUGUUUAAACGUGGGUUUCUUGGAGUGCCAAAGUUCAUAAGGUGUGGAAUCAACUGCUUUGGUAUUAACCCUAUUCAGCAAGUACACGGCAGUUAGGAGUGCAUGACCCCACAGGUAUGCCGGUAGCUCGGUGAACCCCAUCAUAGAUCAAACCAUGUCUAACAGUGUUCGAUUCCGACGUUCGGAAACUCCAUUGAGUUGAGGAGUUCCAGGAGGAGUCCAUUGAGACAGAAUCCCAUUCUCUUUAAGAUAGUCUAUAAACUCAGUACUUAAGUAUUCGCCACCACGAUCGGAUCGUAGUUUCUUAAUACGUCUACCGAGUUGGUUUUCUACUUGGUGUCUAAAAUCUUUGAACUUUUCAAAAGUUUCAGACUUAUACUUCAUUAAGUAUACGAAACCAUACCUAGAAUAAUCAUCGGUAAAGGUAACGAAGUAGUUAAAACCACCCCUAGCACUAACACUUAGUGGACCACACACGUCUGAAUGGAUCAAAUCCAAAAGACCCUCGGCUCGUUCCAUCUUCCCUUUGAAGGGAGUCUUGGUCAUUUUUCCUUUAAGGCAGGAUACACAAGUUUGAAGUGAUUUAACGUCCUCCAAGGAGAACAUUCCUUCACUAACAAACUUGUUCAUCCUUCUCAAGGAAAUGUGACCUAGUCGAGCGUGCCAAAGUUGUGCGGGGUUAAGACUUAUAUCUUUUCAUUUUGCUGAUAUAACGUUAAUAGGUAUUUCACUUGGAUUCAGUUCAUAUAAGUUGUUUAUAAGUUGUCCCUUACAAAUCACAUUUUGAUCCUUUUGUAUAAUGCAAAUCGAAUUUCCAAAAACAAAAGUAAAACCUUCAUUAUCCAAAACAGGAAUAGAAAUAAGGUUUCGAAUAAGUGACGGAACAAAUAAACAAUUGUUCAAAACAAUGGAAAAACUAGAAUCCAAAACAGAAAGAUAAAUUGUCCCAAUGGCUUCAGCAGCAACCCUUGCUCCGUUGCCCAUUCUUAGGUAGGUCUCACCCACAUUAAGCUUCCUACUUCUUGUCAUGAGCUGCAAAUCAUUACAAAGAUGUGAGCCACAACCGGUAUCCAAUACCCAAGCAGAAGAUUUAACGGACAAAUUAACUUCAACUAAAUACGUACCCUUUUCAGAACGUUUCUGAUCGAGGUAAGCCUUGCAGUUGCGUCGCCAAUGGCCCUUCUUUCCACAAUGAUGGCAAGCGUCAUCAACUUGCUUGAUGACCUUGUCAUUCUUCACUCUGCUCGACUCGCCCUUCUCAAAUUUCUUGCUCGGGCCGAAACUUCUUUCUUUCCUUUUCUUCUGCAAAGAACCUUUCUUCGCAGAAGGAGCAACUAGGAGAACAGAUUUCUCCUUCUUGAUCGUGGACUCAUAGCUGACCAACAUGUUCAACAACUCAUCCAAUGGUGGAUCGAGCUUGUUCAUGUUGAAGUUCACUAUGAACGAUUCAUAAGAACUAGGAGGGGAAAGUAGGAUCAAAUCCACCGAGAGCUCGGCCGGGAGGGUGACAUCAAGGCUUACCUGCUUCUCAAGGAGAGUGAUCAUCUUGAGACCGUGCUCGUGGACCGAAGCCCCUUCACGCAGCCUCAUGGUGAUGAACUCCUUGGUAGCUGAGUACCUCGAUGCCCUAGUAUUCUCACUGUACAUGCUUUCAAGAUGGUGCUUGAUAUCAUAAGCAUGCACGUGAGACUCAUACAUCCUCGCGAGCUCUGGCACCAUGGAUGCUAGCAUGUAGCACCUCGCAUGGAGGUCGUCCUUCAUCCAUGCCUCGAAAGUGGCAGUCUCGUCAGCAGUAGCAGUCGCAGGAAGAGCAGCGGGGGGACGUUCAUUGAGCACAUAGAGACGCUCCUCGACUUGGAGCACAAGUUUCAGAUUGCGAAGCCUAUCCAAAUAGUUUGGACCGGUGAGUUUGUUUUGGUCGAGGAUUGAGGAAAGGGGAUGUUUGGACAUUGUUGCUGAGAAAAUUUUAAGAAGACAAUAAUUAGAAUUUAGUUCGUAAUAAUCGUUACAAUUAAAAUUUUGGACUUUUAUAUUUUAAUUGUUCUCCCACUAAUUUUAUCGAAUUCCACCACCCUCUAGCAGACAAUCGAGAAAACUUAUUUUUCUUUAAUGGGCUUUAGGUCCAAUAGCGCUAAUGUAACCCGUAGUUAAUCUAUCCCGAUUACAUAAGCCUAAAGGUAGAGUACUAUCAAUCACAUCACUAUGUGACCCUAAAGAUCGAUUUACCUCACACUUGAUAAUGACCUAAGUUAAUCUAGCGAAUAUCAAAAUCUUCGUGUGUCAAGUCUAGCCUACCAAUAUGAGAUGUCAUGGAUCCAACUAUAUCAAACUAAUGCAAUCCCUAGUUAAUCUAGCCGACCACAUUAAUCCAACAUAAUUUUAUCUAUGACCGUAUCUCCAUCUAAUGUCAAUUAAAUUACAGCUUAUCCCACAAUAGCACUCCCCGCUAACACGGCUUACUGCACUAUUAUGAGAGGCUACACAUAAUUUAAUUGUUGGUAGAAGGAAAGAAAAAUUCAACAAUUUGGUUUUUCUUUAUAGCUUGAUAAUUAUUCUUGAUUAAGAAUGAGGGAUUUUGUUUUUAAAUCUUAUUAGCUCAUCGGAAGUUUUAGGUUAUGAUCGUUUGUGAUUCCUACAACUAUGUUCUCUAGGUAUGUGGAAACGCAUAUUGAUCCUAAGAGAGACAUACGAUCAUCAUCGUACUUAAUCACAAUUAUUCAUCUCAUGAAUUAAUUAAUAAAUAAGAUUAAUUGCAAAUAUAAUUAACGGACUCCUUUCAUUCAUAAAUCAAUCAAAUAAGAAUGAAGUCCAUUAAUUAUUUGCCAUCUAAUUUGUGUUCCAUUAAUUAAAUUAAUUUAACGAUUAAAUUAAAUAAUUAAUCCAACACUAUUCUUUGAAUUCAAAUUAAAUUAAUGGAUCAAUUAUCUAAUUGGGUUUAAUUGAUAAAUAAUUUCAAAAAUUAAAAAUCAAUUAAUUUUAAUAUUAAUCUCAGAAAAUCAAAUAAAUAAUUUUUUUUUUUUUUUUUUUUUUGUUGUGCUGACCGGACCGGUCGGACCGGUUCGACCGGGCCUGUUCGGUCAGCUGAAAAACAGCAGCAAAAAUCGAAUUUUUUCAAAAUUAAAAAUUUUAUAUUUUCUGAAAUAUUCAAAAUAUUAAUUAAUAUUAAACCACCCAAUUUGAUAACACCAAAAAUUCAACAAUUCAACAAAUCGAAGCAUGCUUUCGAAAGCGAUAAACACGUUGACAAAUAAACGAUUAACCCAUGGCUCUGAUACCACUGUUGGGGAUCGUGCAUGUAUACGCAGCGGAAUUUAAAAUUUUUAGAUCGAACUAAUUUCGAUUACAUGCAUAAACUAAUCACAUAGUGUAUGUGUACUGCGUCUCAUCAGUCCUCGGUGUUGUGACAUCGGCAUACUUGAGUGGGUGCUCAUACUGGAUGAGUUCACUGAACUCCCUCGCCCUAGAAAUCUAUAAGUGGUUCUCAUUCAUCGAGUAAUAGGUUUCUAAGAUAUAGUUGUACACCAUUAGUCCUUAAGACCCAGACAUCACCGUGACUUCACUAGAGGACCGAUUGUAUCGUGACCUGUCCCUAAGUCCCACCGCGGACCGCUCCAAGGGCCAACGUUCGUGCAAUCCGAAAUCUAGUGUGAAGUCUGUGCAUUGUAGUAGGGGAUUCGAGCGCUUGAGUAGUCAUGGAUGUCCUGUGUGUUCUGACGGUUUAUAAUCCAUGGAAUCUCUGGCCAGAGUUGAUAGUGGGGUGAUUAGGGAAAUGUGUUUCCCUAAGUCGCACACGAACGGAUUUAUAAUACCUAGAACGUUCGCACGGUUAUUGAACUUUAUAAGAGGUCUCGGUGAACCAAUGCCUCUAGUUCAAUCGGGACAUGUGCUACGAAAGGAUCGUACUGUACGCUAACUAUAUCAUAAGGUUCUUGCAGGCACUUCAUUUGUAUCUAGGGAAUCAUGAUGCGUAGUUGCUAGACGCCAAUCUUGAUUCGUUGGGCACCGAUUUGAUCGGGAUUAGGUAAAAUGAGUUUUACUCUAAUCAGGAAUCUUGGGAGGAGUUCAUAUAAGAACAAUGUGUUGUUCGAAUCACAAAGAGUUGUGAGCCCACGGCUAGCAUACACCUGAACCAUUGAGGGUCACACUUCUCGUGUAACAUGGAUCCUUGAUAACAAUGAGCAUAGAUUAAUAUGUUAAUCUUUGCAAAGUUGGAGGUCAAUAUGAUUGAGUCCAAGAUUCGUGAUUGUGGAUUACGAGUCGGAAUAAACGUAGAGAAAGAGAUAUGCGGAAAUUAGUGAACUUUCUAAAUUGAGAAGUUUCCCAAUGUUGCUGGUCCACUGAAGUGGAAGAUUCCAAUUUUGGAAAUUGGAAAUUUCGAAGAGGCACUCGUAUCGACGAGGACUUUGAGCUCGUCACAAAUAUAAUUUUGUUAUAAUUUUGUGGACGAUCGUUUAUUAGAAACGAGGCCGACGAGGGAAUGGGCUUAAUGCAUCAGUGGGUCAAGCCCAAUGACUUAAGCCCACUAGGGUUUAAAACCCUAAGUAUAAAUAGACCUCAAAAGUAGUUUUGAGAUCAGAUUUUCAAGCACCAAAACCCUAGCCGCUCAGCCCCCCCUCUCGGCCGUUGCAUCUCCGCCGCGCCACCGCCAUCCGCCGCCGGAAUCCGCCGGUUUUUCCCUCUCCUUUCUCUAUCGUAUUCCCUUGUUAUCUAACCCCUUUGUAUCUAGUGCUACAGUAGGGGGAGAUCUGUUUAUUCGAGGUGAAACCUAAUUGGAGAGGAGCUGCUGCCCCGACGGAAUCGCCGCACCGCCGCUGCACCGCCGCACGCGCCGCUGCACCGCCCACGCGCCGCCGCCGUCGUCACGCACGCGCCGCCGUCGCCACACCUUCGGUCCAGCUGCCGUUUGGUGGUGUUCCUGCAGCCCCUAGGAGUGGUAUAUAGCAGCUUGUACGUGACUCGUUCUAGGAUUUCGAUUCGUCGAAAUCGCACGCUACAAGAGGUAAAUGAAUCGAAACUUUCGUAAAUUAAUUCGAGCAUGUUUUGUGUGAAUUAUAAUUUAUGAGCAUGAGUAAUACGUGAUUACAUGUUUCGAUUUUGUGUAAUGAAGUAUAAGCAUGUUUCGUGAUUUUCGGUUUUACGUAUUUUUCAAUUAAAUCGAAAAUUACCAUAUGUAUGGCGGAAGCGUUAAGGUACGUUGACUAUGUGAUUAGUUUAUGCAUGUAAUCGAAAUUAGUUCGAUCUAAAAUUAUUAAAUUCCGCUGCGUAUACAUGCACGAUCCCCAACAUCAAACACGUAGGUAAAUAAGAAAAGAGUUAACCAAGCUUCCCAGCCAAAGUAUGUUCAUAUGCCUUCUUCUGUCUCCAGAAAAGAUUUUAAACCUCCGCUCUGAUACCAAAAAUGUAACGGCCCACAACCUAACAACAGAAUCCAAUCGGAUCACCACCAUUAAGUUAGGGAUGCUAAUGUUUUUAUAUAUAAUUAAACAUUAUGGUUUUAAUACAAAAAUACGUUAUAUUCUUUGAAAAGAAAUCAAACUUUGUACUUUCUCAAAACUGUACAUAUAUAUAUAUAUAUAUAUAUAUAUAUAUAUAUAUAUAUAUAUAUAUAUAUAUAUAACGGCUAAUAAAAUGAAAUCAGAGUUUUUAGCUCGGCGACAAAAAUGGCUCGAAGCAUGGCAUAUGAACAAAUCUAUGACUGGCCGCUCUUGGCUAGGUCAACUUCUAAACAUGUACAUCAUUACGUGCAUCAUAAGAACCUAAUUGGCUAACAGCUGAGCAAGUUGAAACUGAUGUAAUAGCAAUAUAUCACAUAACACGUUAUUCUCUCAACAUACACAAUAUCACAUAUAACUUCAUUCAUGAUCUUUUCUUUUGAAAUCCUUCUCUUUUUCUAGAACCCUUGAAGUGUGGUACUUGACUGAUAGCAAUAGGCUUUGGUUUUCGGAACCUGUUCAUCAUAUUUGGCCAAUAGAUAAUACGGGGUUUCCAUACCAGCCUUUCGACCUCAGGUAUUAGCCGUAUUUUAUUUCAUUAAUUGUGGGUUUUCCAUACUGGUCUUUCGACCUCAGGUAUUUGCCACCAUGUGUUGGGUCCGCCGGUCCCUCCCGCGUCCCUUGCCUACUCGACCAUCAAUCAAGUACCAUACUCCCAUUUUUUAAAACAUAUUCUUUCAUAUCCCUAUGACUCGUCAAUCAUUCAAACAUCGUGAAGAACACGUAGCAAAAGUCACAUUAAAGCACACAUAAUUAGGUUCUUAUGAUGAGCAAAUGAAUGCUUCAACUUACCUCAAGUUCAAUAUGGUGUAUGAAGUGAAAAGAUCAGUCUCAUAUAGGUUGUGCUAGAGUCCUUGUUUAGAGAUGAAUUCAAACUUCAAAAUGUUGGAUUUUCAGCUAGAAAAGGUGCACAACUUGUUCUAGCUCUACUUUGAUGUUGUCUUAUGCGAGUAUGAAAGUAAAGAAUAAUGAAGAGAAGCUUAAGUAAAUUGGUCUGAUCGUUUUUGGAAGAAGACAAGUGAAAAUGAAGACAAAAACACAAAGUCUACACUUAUCUAUUACCCAUUCCCAACAAGGCCAAAUGGAGGAUGAUGAUUGGAAGGCUUGUUUUUGCUGGAUUCAUGUGGUUCCUCCAGGUUUUUCUAGCUUGAGAUAAGAUAUGGGCUGAUGCUUACUCAUUAUAAUCAAGUGUAAACAAUUUGAGAAUGGUCUUGUGCAACCUAGUCAACAAACCAAUCAAAUUGCACCCUUUUGCAUACUUUUGGUUUUAGUCUAAUAUGAGUUACUCAAGUAAUUAUAUAUGUAAUUAAUCAUAUUAAAAUGUAAUUAAAAUGAUGAAAUGCAUCUAAGACAAAUAGAUCACCGUUUAGCAUAUUGAUCCCUUCUUAACCGAGAAACUUAACUUCUCACUACAAUAAAUAAUUUAAGUUAAUGUUAAAUCAUAUAGUAGAAGUUCAAUAACAUGUAUCAUGUAUUAUCACAGUUUAAGAAAAGUAUUCGAUCACGUAUUAAAACACAAUUAAGGCACAUGUGUAGCAAGUAUCGUGAUCAUGCAUCAUGAAUAAUGAAUUAUAAGUAUAUGCAUUGAUGCAAUAUGCUUAUUAUUGGCCAUGUAUGGAUGGUUGGGCAUUACAGAUACAGUGGAGUGUAGAAAUAACACUCUACGUUUACAUUUACGUGGAUUUUUUUUGGAUUAAUUUAUAUUUCUGUUUUAAUCGGUGCAUUAAGUAUCUUAUAUGUACAAAUCGAUAAUUAGGUGUCCAUGAAGCAAAAAUGAUGAAAGAGUUAUAAAAGAGUUGCAAUUAGGAAAAUAAAAUCAAAUUAGAAGAGAGGAUCCCUUUACAUCUUUGGUAGUGUCCAUGAAGUCGAGCAUAACUUUCUCAUCCGGACUCCAAAUUUACUAGUUCCGACGGCAUUAGAAAGCUAUUUCAGGUGGCUACAAUUCCUGCCUAACGUCUAUUUUCAAAAUUCGUACUUGAACAUGGUCGAAAUUGGAUUCCAAAAGCGAUCAUGAAAAUACGUGCUUCUGUUCGAGGACAUGAAUGCGCAUCAAGAAACGUGCACAAAAACACUCGCUACAAAAGAUACGCAGAUAACUAAAUGCACAUAAGCAUGCACAAAAGUACUCAUGCAAAAGUGCAUUCGCAAAGAGGAUCAUGAAAACACAAACUACAAACCUAGGACAUUAAUACAAAUCAACAAACAUGCACAAACACACUCGCUCAAUUGGACAUGCACAAAACUACAUGUAAAAAAACAUGAACAAAAGUGCAUUCGCAACAACGAUCUGAAAAACACGAACUUCAACACUAGGACUUUAAUAAGCAUAACCAAACAACCAUAAAAAACACUAGAUAAAAAAAAUAUACAGUGGAAUUUAGAAAUCACACUCUAGGUUUACGUUCACGAGGAUUUUUUUUUUGGAUUAAUUUAUAUUUCUAUUUUAAUUGGUGGAUUUAGUAUCUUACAGGUACAAAUCGAUAAUUAGGUGUCCAUGAAACGAAAAUGAUGAAAGAGUAAGAAAAGAGUUGCAAUUAGGAAAAUAAAAUAAUAUUAGAAGAGAGGAUCCCUCGACAUCUUUCGUAGUGUCCACGAAGUUGAGCAUAACUUUCUCAUCCGAACUCCAAAUUAACUAGUUCCGACGGCAUUAGAAAGCUAUUUCAGCUGGCUACAAUUCUUAUAUAACGUCAAAUUCCUAAAUUCGGACUCGAACAUGGUCAAAAUUGGAUUCCAAAAGCGAUCAUGAAAAUACGUGCUACACUUCGAGGACAUGAAUGCGCAUCAAGACACGUGUACACAAACACUUGCUAGAAAAGAUACGCACAUAAGUAACAGUACAAAAGCAUGCACAAAAGUACUCACGCAAAAGUGCAUUCGCAAAAGGGAUCAUGUAAACACAAACCACAAUCCAAGGACAUUAAUACAAAUCAACAAACAUGCACAAACACACUCGCUCAAAUGGACAUGCACAAACGUACAUGUAAAGAAACAUGCACAAAAGUGAAUUCGCAACAAAUUUCUUAAAAACACGAACUACAACAGUAGGAAUUUAAUACGCAUAAGCAAACAAACAGCAAAAACACUAGACAUAAAAGAUGCAGUGGGGUUUAGAAAUGACACUCUAGGUUUACAUUUAGGUGGAUUUUUUUUUUUUGGUUUAAUUUAUAUUUCUGUUUUAAUUGGUGGAUUUAGUAUCUUAUAGGUACAAAUCGAUAAUUAGGUGUCCAUGAGGCAAAAAAGAUGAAAGAGUAAGAAAAUAGUUGCAAUUAGGAAAAUCAAAUAAUAUUAGAAGAGAGGAUCCCUCAACAUCUUAGGUAGUGUCCACGAAUCGAGCAUAACUUUCUCAUCCGGACUCCAAAUCAACUAGUUCCGACUGCAUUAGAAAGUUAUUUCAGCUAGCGACGAGUCCUGCCUAACGUCGAAUUUCUAAAUUCGGACUCGAACAUGGUCAAAAUUGGAUUCCAAAAGCGAUCAUGAAAAUAUGUGCUACAGUUCGAGGACAUGAAUGCGCAUCAAGAAACGUGCACAAAAACACUCGCUAGAAAAGAUACGCACAUAAGUAACAUAACAAAAGCAUGCACAAAAGUAGUCACGCAUAAGUGCAAUCACAAGAAGGAUCAUGUAAACACAAACUACAAUCCUAGGACAUUAAUACAAAUCAACAGACAUGCACAAACACACUCGCUCAAAUGGACAUGCAAAAACGUACAUGUAAAAAAACAUGCACAAAAGUGCAUUCACAACAAAUUUCUAUAAGCAAACAAACAGCAAAAACACUAGAUACAAUAGAUACAGUGGAGUUUAGAAAUCACACUAUAGGUUUACGUUUACGUGGAUUGUUUUUUGGAUUUAUUUGUAUUUCUAUUUUAAUUGGUCGAUUUAGUAUCUUAUAGGUACAAAUCGAUAAUUAGGUGUCCAUGAAGCAAAAAUGAUCAAAGAGUAAGAAAAGAGUUGCAAUUAAGAAAAUAAAAUCAAAUUAGAAGAGAGGAUCCCUCGACAUCUCCGGUAGUGUCCGCGGAGUCGAGCAUAAAUUUCUCAUCCGGACUCCAAAUCAACUAGUUUCGGCGGCAUUAGAAAGCUAUUUUAGCUGGCUACAAUUCAUAUGUAACGUCGAAUUUCCAAAUUCGGACACGAACAUAUUCAUAAUUCGAUUCCAAAAGCGAUCAUGAAAAUGUAACACCCCGCCCUUUCGGAUAACUCGUUUUAUAUUUGUAUUAUUUUUCAUAAAUAGAUUUUACGUUUAGAAUUUCUAUGUGCUAAUAGGAUAAUUUAUUAUGAGCUAGCAUAAUUAAACAUGCAUUCUUGAUGUACUUUAUGUGUGACUUGAAUUAUGUGAUUAGUUGAUUUAUUAGGAUCGAAUAUUUGAAAAUUUUCACACGAAAAAUAACUAACUGAAAAUUUUCAUAUUUUAAUUAGAUUAUUGCAUUCUAGAAUUUAAUUUGGAUAGUUGGAAUAUAUUUAUUCAUACACUAUUUUUUUAGAAAAAGAAUAAAUUCAUGCAUAUUAGAUAAUUAAAUGAGUGAAUAAACUUAGAAAUAAAAAUUUUCCCCACUCUUCUUGUAAUUUUCGGCCAUGUGGAGACACACAUGGAUUUUAUUUUCCAUGUGUACAAUUCUUUAAUGUAGAAAUGCUUAUUAGUUGGGAGAAUUGAAGGCUUAAGUGGCUUGUACUUUCUUCAUUGAGAAUGGUACUCCACUUUACCUUUUAAUUCAAGACCCACUUUCUCUCUCUCUUUCCACCUAAGCAUUUGAAACCCAUUCGCUUUCUUCUUCCUCUCUCCCUAAAUUCGGCCAUCACCACCAUCCCCUCACUAAGACUCCAUUUUUACUCAAGCUCAAGCCAUAGAACCAUCUCCAAUCCAACCCACCUAAAGAGGAAAUUCCAAGAACACCCCCAAAUGCUUGCAAAACUCUAUAAAUAGAACCCAACACCCAAAUGAAUUCUCAUCUUCUCCACCAUAUCUUAAAGCUCUUAAGAAAACAUCAUCUCUCUUCUUCUCCAUUUCGAAAUUAUUAGUGUAGGAAGCUCAAAAUCUCUCUUCAUUUCCAAAAAGAAGUUUCUUCAACUAGAAGUGUAAGAAAGCUCUCAAUUUUCUUCUUCCUUUUCAAUUUCGAAAAUUCCCUAAUGUUUUCUUCUAAUUUCUUUAUAAUUUCUUCAAGGUUCUUGUAGUGGGUUAUUCAAUCCACCAAUUCCUUCAUAUUCCCAAGAGAAUCUAGGUGAGAAUUUCAUAUUCUUGCUACAAGUGAGUCUUCACCAAUAUUAUUUCUUCUUACUCCUUAUAUGUUCUUAAUGGCCGAAAAUUUGGGAAGCUAUAUUACUUUGCUUGUUUGUUGUUAGUUGUUAGAUGAUCCAUGCAUGUAAUGAUCUAAGCUUUAAUUGAAAUAAUCUUGAAGAACUAAGAAUAAUAUGAUAAUUUAAUUUUUGUUUAUGUAUAUGUAAAUAUAUAUAUAUACUAGACCUGCGUGAUCUUAAGGAAACUUCAAUCCAUGGUUUUCGUAAACCUGCGUGGUCGAAGAAAGUACUUGAUCCAUGGUUUAUUUAUAAUCUAUAUGUGCUAUAUAUAAGUAUAUGUUUCUAUGUGUACAUAUAUCGACCUACGUGGUUGUAAGUGUACUCCCUCCGGGUCGAGGAAGCUUACGAUCCAUGGUUUAUGAUCUAUGAGUAAUAAGAUAAUAUACGAAGAUAAAAAUCGAGAACAAGAUUAAUAAAAAUAGAAUUUUGUGUGAUUGAACUGUUGAUGGUUCGAAUAUUUUGAAAAGAAAAUGAAAUAAAUGGAAAUUUGGUGCUACUUCAAAGAAAACUUCAAGUCUCUUGAGAAAGAGGGCUUGAACUUUAAUUAAUGAAACUUGGAGAUAGUAAUUAUAAAUAACCGAAUGCUUUGAGUUGUUUUGCUAUAUGUGUAAAUAUGUGAUCUAUGUUCUUUGCUUGAGUUUUUAUGUGUCUUACUUGGUUUUGUGAUUUUGUGACUAAAUUAUGUGCCAUUGUGAAAUUUGUGGAAAUAUGUGUGCUUAUGUGAAAGCUAACUUUGAAUAUGUGAAAUGAAGAAUAUAUACUAACUUCACAUUGCACGUUUUUAAAGUUGGAAAAUCUUGUAAAACAUAGAUCGAAUAAGCACGGGGUAUGAGGGACCGGUACCCCAAAAAUGAGAUGAAGAGUGUGUGGUUUGAUUCCACUUAUGAAACGGGUUCCAAAUAAAUGAAGGCUUAUUGUCUAUGGUUUUACUUGAUUUUUCAAAGGAUAUCCGACUAAAGAAAAUGUUUUUCUCACACAACUAAUCAAGUUGCUUGAAUUGAAUGAAAGUGUGUACUAACCUCACUUGCACGUUUUUUAAAAUUGGAAAGUCUUGUAAAACAUAGAUCGAAUAAGCACGGGGUAUGAGGGACCGCUACCCCAAAAAUGAGAUGAAGAGUGUGUGGUUUGAUUCCACUUUUGAAACGGGUUCCAAAUAAAUGAAGGCUUAUUGUCUAUGGUUUUACUUGAUUUUUCCAAAGGAUAUCCGACUAAAGAAAAUGAUUUUUUCACACGUUGUAUGAGCACUUGAAUGAAUGUAUGGAUGAAUGGUUCUUUUAUGUAGACCUACUCUUAUUCCUUAUGAAAUGAUGAAAAGAAGGUCUAAGAGGUAAAUCGAAAGGUCUAAGAGGUAAACCGAGAAGGUAAAGGUAAAUCGAUAAUUUUUCUUAAAGAAAUGGUGAUUGAGGUAUAUGUAUACUUGUAUAUGUAUGACUAUAUGAUUCCUUGUCUAAGUGUAUUUGAUAUUAUAUGGAAUUCUCAUUGAGUCUCAAAGACUCAUAUAGGUGUUGAAUUGCUUGUAGGAUUACCGGAUUUCGAGCCCGAGGAUCGUGGUUGAAGUUGAAUUCGUGGAUCGGGAGAAGAGUUCAUAUGGAGGCAUGGUGGAUUUUGGGUGCUCUUAAUAUACUCAUGUGGUUUUAUUUGUAUAAUUUGCUAUUAAGGAUAUUCGACACCGUUCUAUGUGUUUAUUAUCGUUCUCUCCCGCCUAUUGGAGGAACUUACUAUUGAUGCACAAUAUAUAAUGUUACAUAGGAGUAAAAGUACCUCUUUUGAUAUAUGUUAUGGUAUUUCCUCAAAAACUUGUGUAACCUUAGGGCAAGUUUUCAUAAAAACCUUAUAAAAUGCCUGUCGGCUAGUUGUGUGUUAUGUUCUGUCUAGUAGUUUGAUAAUUCGUGUUAAUUAUCACUUCCAUACAUUAUUGCAUGAAAUUGUACAGUAUUAUAGGACUCCCUCUUAGGUUCAUUUUGAUAGUUCGUUUGCAUUAUUUGGAUAACCCAUGAAUUAAUUAUGAAUUGUUUCCCAACACUGCUCUGAAACAGAGUCGUUGUAGUAUUUACAAUAAAAUACAAAGUUUUUCUCACUCAAAAGGAUUUAUUCCACUUGUAAUAGAUUCCUAACUCACUAAUGUACUUUAGUAUAAAAUUUGAUGAUUUUUGAAACAGUAGGGAAUUUAUAAAGAUUUUUCAAAGGUCACUCCCCUGCUUUAGAUUAUAAACUGUACAGUUGUACUAUUUUAAUUAUUCCUUUCAAAUGGCUCAAGGUAUUUAAAAACUGCUUUUACUAGGUUAUCUAGGCCCUUAGUAGAGCAUGUGGUAACAAUUUCAAGUGUUUUGCAUGAGCGGUUAGACAGUUAUUAAUUUAUUUGAUUGAUAGAUCGAAACUGUCCAAAAUUCUCUCACUUUGCUAACAUGGAACUUAAUCUCUAGUCAUGCAUGAAUAGUUUGUGAAAUUGAUUUAGUGAAUGUUGUUUGGUAAUAUGUGGACACUCUUACUCUGAUUCUAAAACAAAAAUUUUGUCGGAAUUUUCUAUUCCCGAUUUAUAUAUUUCAAAGUCUUCCGCUAUCAUAUUCUAAAAUACUAAUUAAGUAUAACUAGAAAAUGGGAGUCACAGAAAGUACGUACUACAGUUCGAGGACAUGAAUGCGCAUCAAGAAACGUGCACGAAAACACUCGCUCGAAAAGAUACGCACAAAAGUAAAAGUGCAACAACAUGCACAAUAGUACUCCUGUAAUAGUGCAUUCGCAAAAAGGAUCAUGAAAACACAAACUACAAUCCUAGGACAUUAAUACAAAUCAACAAACAUGCACAAACACACUCGCUCAAAUGGACAUGCACAAACGUACAUUUAAAAAAACAUGCGCAAAAGUGCAUUCGCAACAACGUUCUUAAAAACACGAACUACAACACUAGGACUUUAAUACGUAUAACCAAACGAAAAGCUAAAACACUAGAUACGAAAGAUACAGUGGAGUUUAGAUAUAACACUCUAGGUUUACGUUUAUGUGGAUUUUUUUUUUUUUUUGAAUUAAUUUAUAUUUUUGUUUUAAUUGGUGGAUUUAGUAUCUUAUAGGUACAAAUCGAUAAUUAGGUGUCCAUGAAGCAAAAAUGAUCAUAGAGUAAGAAAAGAGUUGCAAUUAGGAAAAUAAAAUCAUACUAGAAGAGAGGAUCAUCCCUCGACAUCUUCGGUAGUGACCACGAAGUCGAGCAUAACUUUCUCAUCCGGACUCCAAAUCAACUGGUUCCGGUGGCAUUAGAAAGCUAUUUCAGCUGGCUUCAAUUCCUGUUCACGUCAAAUUUCCAAAUUCGGACUCGAACAUGGUCAAAUUUGGAUUCCAAAAGCGAUCAUGAAAAUACGUACUACGGUUGGAGGACAUGAAUGCGCAUCAACAAAACGUGCACAAAAACAUUCGCGAGAAAAGAUACGCACAUAAGUAAAAGUACAACAGCAUGCACAAAAGUACUCAAGCAAAAGUGCAUUCACAAAAAGGAUCAUGAAAACACAAACUACAAUCCUAGGACAUUUAUACAAAUCAACAAACAUGCACAAACACACUCGCUCAUGUGGACAUGCACAAUUGUACAUGUAAAAUAACAUGCGCAAAAGUGCAUUCGCAACAACGUUCUUAAAAAUACGAACUACAACACUAGGAAUUAAAUAUGCAUAACCAAACAAACAGCAAAAACACUAGAUACAAAAGAUACAGUGGAGUUUAGAAAUAACACUCUACGUUUACGUUUACGUGGAUUUUUUUUUUUGGAUUAAUUUAAAUUUAUGUUUUAAUUUGUGGAUUUAGUACCUUAUAGGUACAAAUCGAUAAUUAGGUGUCCAUGAAGCAAAAAUGAUCAAAGAGAAAGAAAAGAGUUACAAUUAGGAAAAUAAAAUCAAAUUUGAAGAGAGGAUCCCUCAACAUCUCCGGUAGUGUCCACGAAGUUGAGCAUAACUUUCUCAUACGGACUCCAAAUCAACUGGUUCUGGUGGCAUUAGAAAGCUAUUUCAGCUGGCUACAAUUCCUGUGUAACGUCAAAUUUCCAAAUUCGGACUCGAACAUGGUCAAAAUUGGAUUCCAAAAGCGACCAUGAAAAUACGUGCUACAGUUCGAGGACAUGAAUGCACAUCAACAAAACGUGCACAAAAACACUCCCUAGAAAAGAUACACAAAUAACUAAAAGUACAAAACAAUGCACAAUAGUACUCACGCAAAAGUGCAUUCGCAAAAAAGGAUCAUGAAAACCCAAACUACAAUCCUAGGACAUUAAUACAAAUCAACAAACAUGCACAAACACAUUCGCUCAAAUGGACAUGCACAAACGUACAUUUAAAAAAACAUGCGCAAAAGUGCAUUCGCAACAACGUUCUUAAAAACACGAACUACAACACUAGGACUUUAAUACGCAUAACCAAACAAAAAGCUAAAACACUAGAUACGAAAGAUACAAUGUAGUUUAGAUAUAACACUCUAGGUUUAUGUUUAUGUUGAUAUUGUUUUUUGAAUUGAUUUAUAUUUUUGUUAUAAUUGGUGGAUUUAGUAUCUUAUAGGUACAAACCGAUAAUUAGGUGUCCAUGAAGCAAAAAUGAUCAAAGAGUAAGAAAAGAGUUGCAAUUAGGAAAAUAAAAUCAAACUAGAAGAGAGGAUCCCUCGACAUCUUCGGUAGUGACCACGAAGUAAAGCAUAACUUUCUCAUCCGGACACCAAAUCAACUGGUUCCGGUGGAAUUAGAAAGCUAUUUUAGUUGGCUUCAAUUUGUGUCUAACGUCAAAUUUCCAAAUUCGGACUCGAACAUGGUCAAAAUUGGAUUCCAAAAGCGAUCAUGAAAAUACGUGCUACAGCUCGAGGACAAUAAUGCGCAUCAACAAAACGUGCACAAAAACACUCGCUAGAAAAGAUACGCUUAUAAGUAAAAGUACAACAACAUGCACAAAAGUACUCACGCAAAAGUGCAUUGGCAAAAACGAUCAUGAAAACACACACAAUCCUAGGACAUUAAUUCAAAUCAACAAACACGCACAAACACACUCGCUGAAAUGGACAUGCACAAACGUACAUGUAAAAAAACAUGCACAUAAGUGCAUUCACAACAACGUUCUUGAAAACACGAACUACAACACUAGGACUUUAAUAUGCAUAACCAAACAAACAGCAAAAGCACUAGAUACAAAAGAUAAAGUGGAGUUUACAAAUAACACUCUACGUUUACGUUUACGUGGAUUUAUUUUGGAUUAAUUUAUAUUUCUGUUUUAAUUGGUACAAAUCGAUAAUUAGGUGGCCAUGAAGCAAAAAUUAUCAAAGAGUAAGAAAAAGUUGCAAUUAGGAAAAUUAAAUCAAAUUAGAAGAGAUGAUCCCUCGACAUCUCCGGUAGUGUCCACGAAGUCGAGCAUAACUUUCUCAUGUGAACUCAAAAUUAACUGAUUUUGGCGGCAUUAGAAAGCUAUUUCAGCUGGCUACAAUUUGUGUCUAACGUCAAAUUUCCAAAUUCGGACUCUAACAUGGUCAAAAUUGGAUUCCAAAAUUGAUCAUGAAAAUACGUGCCACAGUUCGAGGACAUGAAUGCGCAUCAACAAAACGUGCACAAAAACACUUCCUAGAAAAGAUACACACAUAACUAAAAGUACAAAAGCAUGCCCAAAAGUACUCACGCAAAAGUGCAUUCGCAAAAACGAUCAUGAAAACACAAACUACAACCCUAGGACAUUAAUACAAAUCAACAAACAUGCACAAACACACUCGCUCAACUGGACAUGCACAAAUGUACAUGUAAAAAAACAUGCGCAAAAGUGCAUUCGCAACAACGUUCUUAAAAACACGAACUACAACAGUAGGACUUUAAUAUGCAUAACCAAACAAACAGCAAAAACACUAGAUACAAAAGAUAUAGUUGAGUGUAGAAAUAACACUCUACGUUUAUGUUCACGUGGACUUUUUUGGGAUUAAAUUAUAUUUCUUUAUUAAUUGGUGGAUUUUAGUUUCUUAUAGGUACAAAUCGAUAAUUAGGUGUCCAUGAAGCAAAAAUGAUCAAAGAGUAAGAAAAGAGUUGCAAUUAGGAAAAUAAAAUCAAAUUACAAGAGAGGAUCCGUUGACAUCUUUGGUAGAGUCCACGAAGUCGAGGAUAACUUUCUCAUCCAGACUCCAAAUCAACUAAUUCUGGCGGCAUUAGAAAGCUAUUUAAGCUGGCUGCAAAUCCUGUCUAACCUCAAAUUUCGAAAUUCGGACUCGAACAUAGUCAAAAUUAGAUUCCGAAAGCUAUCAUGAAAAUACGUGCUUCAGUUCGAGGACAUGAAUGCGCAUCAAGAAACUUUCACAAAAACACUCGCUAGAAAAGAUACGCACAUAAGUAAAAGCAGAAAAGCAUGCACAAAACUACUCACGCAAAAGUGUGUUCGCAAAAAGGAUCAUGAAAAUACAAACUACAAUCCUAGGACAUUAAUACAAAUCUACGAACAUGCACAAACACACUCGCUCAACUGGACAUGCACAAACGUACAUGUAAAAGAACAUGCGCAAAAGUGCAUUUGCAACAACGUUCUUAAAAACACGAACUACAACACUAGGACUCUAUAACGCAUAACCAAACAACAACAAAAACACUAGAUACAAAAGAUAUAGUGGAGUGUAGAAAAAACACUCACCGUUUACGUUUACGUGAAUUGUUUUUUUUGGAUUAAUUUAAAUUUUUGUUUUAAUUGAUGGAUUUAGUAUCUUCUAGGUACAAAUCGAUAAUUACGUGUCUAUGAAGCAAAUAUGAUGAAGGAGUAAGAAAAGAGUUGCAAUUAGGAAAAUAAAAUAAAAUUAGAAGAGAGGAUCCCUCAACAUCUUCGGUAGUGUCCACGAAGUCCAGCCUAACUUUCUCAUUCGGACUCCAAAUCAACUCGUUCCGGCAGGAUUAGUAAUCUAUUUAAGCUGGCUACAAUUCAUGCCUAACGCCAAUUUUCGAAUUCGGACUCGAACAUGGUCAAAAUUGGAUUCCAAAAGGGAUAAUGAAAAUAAGUUCUUCAGUUCGAGGACAUGAACGCGCAUCAAGAAACGUGCACAAAAACACUCGCUAGAAAAGAUACGCACUUAAGUAAAAGUACAAAAGCAUGCACCAGAGUACUCACGCAAAAGUGCAUUGGCAAAAAAGAUCAUGAAAACCCAAACUACAAUCCUAGGACAUUAAUACGAAUCAUUAAACAUGCACAAACACACUCGCUCAACUAGACAUGCACAAACGUAAAUGUAAAAAAAUAUGCGCAAAAGUGCAUUCGCAAUGAAGUUCUUAAAAACACGAACUACAACACUAGGACUUUAAUACGCAUUACCAAACAACAGCAAAAACACUAGAUACAAAAGAUACAGUGGAGUGUAGAAAUAACACUCUAGGUUUACGUUUACGUGGAUUUUUUUUUUGGAUUAAUUUAUAUUUCUGUUUUAAUUGGUGGAUUUAGUAUCUUAUAUGUACAAGUCGAUAAUUAGGUGUCCAUGAAGCAAAAAUGAACAUAGAGUAAGAAAAGAGUUGCAAUUAGGAAAAUAAAAUCAGUUUAGAAGAGGGGAUCCCUCAACAUCUUUGGUAGUGUCCAUGAAGUCGAGCAUUACUUUCUCAUCCGGACUCCAAAUCAACUUGUUCCGGCGGCAUUAGAAAGCUAUUUCAGCUAGCUACAAAUCUCUCUAACGUCAAAUUUCCAAAUUCAGACUCGAAAAUGUCAAAAUUGGAUUCCAAAACGGAUCAUGAAAAUACGUGCUACAAUUCCAAGACAUGAAUGCGCAUCAAGAAACGUGCACAAAUACACUAGCUAGAAAAGAUACGCCCAUAAGUAACAGUACAAAAGCAUGGACAAAAGUACUCACGCAAAAGUGCAUUCUUAAAAAGAAUCAUGAAAACACAAACUACAAUCCUAGGACAUUAAUAAAAAUCAACAAACAUGCAAAAACACACUCGCUCAAAUGGACAUGCACAAACUUACAUGUAAAAAAAAUGCGCUAAAGUGCAUACGCAACAACGUUCUUAAAAACACGAACUACAACACUAGGACUUUAAUACGCAUUACCAAACAACAGCAAAAACACUAGAUACAAAAGAUACAGUGGAGUUUAGAAAUAACACUCUACGCAUACGUUUGGGUGGAUUUUUUUUUUCUGGAUUAAUUUAUAUUUAUGUUUUAAUUGGUGGAUUUAGUAUCUAAUUGGUACAAAUUGAUAUAUGGUUGUCCAUGAAGCAAAAAUGAUCAAAGAGUGAGAAAAGAGUUGCAAUUAGGAAAAUAAAAUCAAAUUAGAAGAGAGGAUCCCUCAACAUCUUUUGUAGUGUCCACGAAGUCGAGCAUAACUUUCUCAUCCGGAAUCCAAAUCAACUGGUUCCGGCGGCAUUAGAGAGUUAUUUCAGCUUGCUACACUUCCUAUCUAACGUCAAAUUUCCAAAUUCGGACUCGAACAGGGUCAAAAUUGGAUUCUAAAGGCGAUCAUGAAUAUACGUGCUAUAGUUCUAGGUCAUGAAUGCGCAUCAAGAAACGUGCACAAUAGAAAAGAUACGCACAUAAGUAAAAGUACAAAAGCAUGCACAAAAGUACUCACGCAAAAGUGCAUUCGCAAAAAGGAUCAUGAAAACACAAACUACAUCCUAGGACUGUAAUACAAAUCAAGAAACAUGCACAAACACAGUCGCUCAACUUGACAUGCACAAACGUACAUGUAAAAAAACCAUGAGCAAUAGUGCAUUAGCAACAACGUUCUUAAAACACCGAACUACAACACAAGGACUUUAAUACGCAUAACCAAACAACAGCAAAAACUCUAGAUACAAAACUGUUGGGGAUCGUGCAUGUAUACGCAGCGGAAUUUAAAUUUUUUUCAUCGAACUAGUUUCGAUUACAUGCAAAACUAAUCACAUAGUCAACGUACCUUAACGCUUCCGCCAUACAUAUGGUAAUUAUCGAUUUAAUUAAAAAUACGUAAAACCGAAAAUCACGAAACAUGCUUAUUCAUCAUUCAAUAAAAUCGAAACACGUAAUCACAUAUGACUCAUAAUCACAAAUUACAAUUCAUACAAACAUGUUCGAAUUAAUUUACGAUAGUUUCGAUUUGUUUACCUCUUGUAGCGUGAGAUUUCGACGAAUCGAAAUCAAGAACCAAUCACGUACAAGCUGCGAAUUUACCAAUCCUCGGGGCUGCAACUUCACGGCUGGAACCAGCUUAUCCAGCAAGCGACGAACGCCGGUGAAUGGCAGCAGCAGCGGCGGCGCGUGGCAGCGGCAGCGGCGGCGCGUGGGCGGCGCGUGCUGCGUAACAGCGGCGCGUGCGGCUUCGGCGGUGGAGCAGCGGCUUUCUUCUCCUCCAAUUAGGUUUCACCUCGUAUAUUUUGACCCACUCGAACUACAGCACUAGAUGUAAACGAGUUAGAUAACUAACAAGAAUAAACGAAGGAAUAAAAGGGAGAAAACCGGCGGUUUCCGGCGAAGAUCGGCGGUGGCGCGGCGGAGAUGCAACGGCCGAGAGGAGGGGCUGAGCGGCUAGGGUUUUGUGCUGAAAAAAUCUGAUCUCAAAACUCUUUUUGAGGUCUAUUUAUACCUAGGGGUUUCAACCCUAGUGGGCUGAAGUCAUUGGGCUUGACCCACUGAUGCAUUAAGCCCAUUCCCUCGUCGGCCUCGUUUCUAAUAAACGAUCGUCCACAAAAUUAUAACAAAAUUAUAUUUGUGACGAGCUCAAAGUCCUCGUCGAUACGAGUGCCUCUUCGAAAUUUCCAAUUUCCAAAAUUGGAAACUUCCACUUCAGUGGACUUGCUAAAUCGGGAAACUUCCCAAUUUAGAAAGUUCACUAAAUUCCGCAUGUCUCUCUUUCUCUACGUUUAUUCCAAUUCGCAAUUCACAAUUACGAAUCUUGGAUUCAAUCAUAUUGACAUCCAACCGUUCAAAGAUUAACACAUUAAUCUAUGCUUGUUGUUAUCAAGGAUCUAUAUUACACGAGAAGUGUGACCCUCAAUGGUUCAGGUGUAUGCUAGCCGUGGGCUCACAACUCUUUGUGAUUCGAACAACACAUUGUUCUUAUACGAACUCCUCCCAAGAGUCCCGAUUAGAGUAAAACUCAUUUUACCUAAUCCCGAUCAAAUCGGUGCCCAACGAAUCAAGAUUGGCGUCUAGCAACUACGCAUCAUGAUUCCCUAGAUACAAAUGAAGUGCCUGUUAGAACCUUAUGAUAUAGUUAGCGUACAGUACGAUCCCUUCGUAGCACAUGUCCCGAUUGAACUAGAGGCAUUGGUUCACCGAGACCUCUUAUAAAGUUCAAUAACCGUGCGAACGUUCUAGGUAUUAUAAAUCCGUUCGUGUGCGACUUAGGGAAACACAUUUCCCUAAUCACCCCACUAUCAACUCUGGCCAGAGAUUCCAUGGAUUAUAAACCGUCAGAACACACAGGACAUCCAUGACUACUCAAGCGCUCGAAUCCCCUACUACAAUGCACAGACUUCACACUAGAUUUCGGAUUGCACGAACGUUGGCCCUUGGAGCGGUCCGCGGUGGGACUCAGGGACAGGUCACGAUACAAUCGGUCCUCUAGUAAAGUCACGGUGAUGUCUGGGUCUUAAGGACUAAUGGUGUACAACUAUAUCUUAGAAACCUAUUACUCGAUGAAUGAGAACCACUUAUAGAUUUCUAGGGCGAGGGAGUUCAGUGAACUCAUCCAGUAUGAGCACCCACUCAAGUAUGCCGAUGUCACAACACCGAGGACUGAUGAGACGCAGUACACAUACACUAAGUGCUAGUCUCAAAAGGGAAAGGCCGGUAUCCUCAUUAUUGGCGUAACCCAUCGACUAGGAACAAGGUUUAACAGUUACAUUACAUUGCUGAGUUAUCUCACGAUUCUACUAGAUCAACUCGUUAGGACUAUAUCUAUGCUGCUUGCAUGGGAUAACAGAUAUAGAAUGCCAAAUAAGAUAUUUUAUUAUUACGAACGAAAAACGAUUGUUUUAUUACAAGGAAAAGAGAAAGACCACAACCACAAGUUGGCUUGUUGGUCACCUACUCUAACAAUCUCCCACUUGACCUAAAGCCAACUACUCAUAAAUCUAAGUCCCAUCGACUUUCGAUGUUUCUCGUGGACUGAUCCUGACAAUGGCUUGGUGAAGGGAUCUGCAAUAUUGUCCUCCGAGGUGACUCUGUCUAGCUUGACUUCACCUCUCUCUAUGAUCUCUCGGAUCACAUGGUAUUUUCUCAACACGUGCUUCGACUUCUGAUGAGCUCUUGGUUCCUUAGCUUGUGCUACGGCUCCGUUGUUAUCGCAGUACAGCCGUACUGGAUCGCUAGCGUUCGGAAAUACACCCAACUCUUGGAUGAAUUUCCUAAUCCAUGACCCUUCCUUUGAAGCAUCUGAUGCUGCAAUAUAUUCAGCCUCGGUGGUGGAAUCAGCCGUUGUGCCUUGCUUGGAACUCUUCCAACACACGGCACCCCCGUUGACUUCGAAUAUAUACCCCGAGUUUGACUUCGAGCCAUCCACGUCCGAUUGAAAACUAGAAUCCGUGAAGCCUUCUAUUUUCAACUCGGUAUCCCCAUAGACCAAAAACAAAUCUCGAGUUCUUCGCAAGUACUUGAGAAUGUCCUUCACAGCCUUCCAAUGGGCUGGGCCGGGGUCAGACUGAUAUCUGCUUGUGACGCUCACAGCAUACGCAAUAUCAGGUCGUGUACAUAGCAUGCCAUACAUUAUGCUUCCUAUAGCGGAUGCAUAAGGUGUCCUUUUCAUCUCCUCGAUUUCCAUUUGCGUUUGAGGACGCAUGGAUUUCGAGAGACGAACCCCAUGGGACAUUGGCAAGAAUCCCUUCUUGGAUUCUUCCAUGCUAAACCGUUUAAGAACGGUGUCUAUGUACAUGGAUUGGGACAAGCCAAGCAAUCUCCUCGAUCUAUCUCUAUAGAUCCGUAUUCCCAAUACGUAGGAUGCUUCUCCCAAAUCCUUCAUCGAGAAACGUGUGGAUAACCAUACUUUAGUCGACUGCAACAUCCCUACAUCAUUCCCAAUGAGUAGUAUGUCAUCAACAUAAAGUACAAGGAAAGUCACUGCACUCCCACUAACCUUCUUGUAGACACAAGGUUCCUCCGGGUUUUUCACAAAUUCAAACUCUUUGAUAGUUGUGUCGAACCUUUUGUUCCAACUACGGGAUGCUUGUUUCAAUCCAUAAAUGGAUCGCUGGAGUUUGCAAACCUUUUGCUCAUCUCCAGAAGAUAUGAAGCCUUCCGGCUGCGCCAUGUAAAUUUCUUCCUCAAUAUCCCCAUUAAGGAAAGCGGUAUUCACAUCCAUUUGCCAUAUCUCGUAGUCAUACCACGCAGAGAUGGCCAGCAAAAUCCUAAUGGACUUAAGCAUAGCAACUGGAGAGAAGGUUUCCUCAUAGUCAACUCCUUGCUUUUGAGUAUAACCCUUCACUACCAAUCUAGCCUUGUAGGUCGAUACCUUUCCAUCUACUCCAAUUUUCUUCUUAUAGAUCCACUUGCAGCCUAUGGGAACGAUUCCCUCGGGUGGAUCUACCAAGGUCCAUACCUUGUUGGAGUACAUAGAGUCCAUUUCGGAUUUCAUGGCAUUAAGCCAAUGUCCCUUGUCUGUAUCCGAUACAGCUUCGUUGAAAGUUCUAGGAUCACAUCCUUGGUCAACUUCAUCAACGAGGAAUAACCUAUCGGGCGCGCUCCGAACUCUUUCGGAUCUACGCAGCGACGGUUCAGGAGGUAUAUUAGUGGUUUGUUGAAUUGGUUCAUUAUCUGAUUGUUGUGCUUGAACUUCAGAUUGUGGUUCACGAACUUCUUCGAGAUCAACUACACUGCCCUUUCUAUCCGAUAGAAAUUCCUUCUCAAGGAACACGGCAUUUCUCGAGACGAACACCUUUGCCUCGGAAACAUAGUAGAAUUCGUAUCCCAUAGAAUCAUCGGGAUACCCCACAAAAUAGCAUAGGUCGGAUUUUGUAUCCAACUUAUCUCCCACUAGCCGCUUCACGUAAGCGGGACAACCCCAUAUCCUAAUAUGUUUAAACGUGGGUUUCUUGGAGUGCCAAAUUUCAUAAGGUGUGGAAUCAAAUGCUUUGGUAUUAACCCUAUUCAGCAAGUACACGGCAGUUAGGAGUGCAUGACCCCACAGGUAUGCCGGUAGCUCAGUGAACCCCAUCAUAGAUCGAACCAUGUCUAACAGUGUUCGAUUCCCACGUUCGGAAACUCCAUUGAGUUGAGGAGUUCCAGGAGGAGUCCAUUGAGACAGAAUCCCAUUCUCUUUAAGAUAGUCUAUAAACUCAGUACUUAAGUAUUCGCCACCACGAUCGGAUCGUAGUUUCUUAAUACGUCUACCGAGUUGGUUUUCUACUUGGUGUCUAAAAUCUUUGAACUUUUCAAAAGUUUCAGACUUAUACUUCAUUAAGUAUACGAAACCAUACCUAGAAUAAUCAUCGGUAAAGGUAACGAAGUAGUUAAAACCACCCCUAGCACUAACACUUAGUGGACCACACACGUCUGAAUGGAUCAAAUCCAAAAGACCCUCGGCUCGUUCCAUCUUCCCUUUGAAGGGAGUCUUGGUCAUUUUUCCUUUAAGGCAGGAUACACAAGUUUGAAGUGAUUUAACGUCCUCCAAGGAGAACAUUCCUUCACUAACAAACUUGUUCAUCCUUCUCAAGGAAAUGUGACCUAGUCGAGCGUGCCAAAGUUGUGCGGGGUUAAGACUUAUAUCUUUUCGUUUUGCUGAUAUAACGUUAAUAGGUAUUUCACUUGGAUUCAGUUCAUAUAAGUUGUUUAUAAGUUGUCCCUUACAAAUCACAUUUUGAUCCUUUUGUAUAAUGCAAAUCGAAUUUCCAAAAACAAAAGUAAAACCUUCAUUAUCCAAAACAGGAAUAGAAAUAAGGUUUCCAAUAAGUGACGGAACAAAUAAACAAUUGUUCAAAACAAUGGAAAAACUAGAAUCCAAAACAGAAAGAUAAAUUGUCCCAAUGGCUUCAGCAGCAACCCUUGCUCCGUUGCCCAUUAUUAGGUAGGUCUCACCCACAUUAAGCUUCCUACUUCUUGUCAUGAGCCUUUUCAGAACGUUUCUGAUCGAGGUAAGCCUUGCAGUUGCGUCGCCAAUGGCCCUUCUUUCCACAAUGAUGGCAAGCGUCAUCAACUUGCUUGAUGACCUUGUCAUUCUUCACUCCGCUCGACUCGCCCUUCUCAAAUUUCUUGCUCGGGCCGAAACUUCUUUCUUUCCUUUUCUUCUGCAAAGAACCUUUCUUCGCAGAAGGAGCAACUAGGAGAACAUAUUUCUCCUUCUUGAUCGUGGACUCAUAGCUGACCAACAUGUUCAACAACUCAUCCAAUGGUGGAUCGAGCUUGUUCAUGUUGAAGUUCACUAUGAACGAUUCAUAAGAACUAGGAAGGGACAGUAGGAUCAAAUCCACCGAGAGCUCGGCCGGGAGGGUGACAUCAAGGCUUACCAGCUUCUCAAGGAGAGUGAUCAUCUUGAGACCGUGCUCGUGGACCGAAGCCCCUUCACGCAGCCUCAUGGUGAUCAACUCCUUGGUAGCUGAGUACCUCGAUGCCCUAGUAUUCUCACUGUACAUGCUUUCAAGAUGGUGCUUGAUAUCAUAAGCAUGCACGUGAGACUCAUACUUCCUCGCGAGCUCUGGCACCAUGGAUUCUAGCAUGUAGCACCUCGCAUGGAGGUCGUCCUUCUUCCAUGCCUCGAAAGUGGCAGUCUCGUCAGCAGUAGCAGUCGCAGGAAGAGCAGCGGGGGGACGUUCAUUGAGCACAUAGAGACGCUCCUCCACUUGGAGCACAAGUUUCAGAUUGCGAAGCCAAUCCAAAUAGUUUGGACCGGUGAGUUUGUUUUGGUCGAGGAUUGAGGAAAGGGGAUGUUUGGACAUUGUUGCUGAGAAAAUUUUAAGAAGACAAUAAUUAGAGUUUAGUUCGUAAUAAUCGUUACAAUUAAAAUUUUGGACUUUUAUAUUUUAAUUGUUCUCCCACUAAUUUUAUCGAAUUCCACCACCAUCUAGCAGACAAUCGAGAAAACUUGUUUUUCUUUAAUGGGCUUUAGGUCCAAUAGCGCUAAUGUAACCCGUAGUUAAUCUAUCCCGAUUACAUAAGCCUAAAGGUAGAGUACUAUCAAUCACAUCACUAUGUGACCCUAAAGAUCGAUUUACCUCACACUUGAUAAUGACCUAAGUUAAUCUAGCGAAUAUCAAAAUCUUCGUGUGUCAAGUCUAGCCUACCAAUAUGAGAUGUCAUGGAUCCAACUAUAUCAAACUAAUGCAAUCCCUAGUUAAUCUAGCCGACCACAUUAAUCCAACAUAAUUUUAUCUAUGACCGUAUCUCCAUCUAAUGUCAAUUAAAUUACAGCUUAUCCCACAAUAGCACUCCCCGCUAACACGGCUUACUGCACUAUUAUGAGAGGCUACACAUAAUUUAAUUGUUGGUAUAAGGAAAGAAAAAUUCAACAAUUUGGUUUUUCUUUAUAGCUUGAUAAUUAUUCUUGAUUAAGAAUGAGGGAUUUUGUUUUUAAAUCUUAUUAGCUCAUCGGAAGUUUUAGGUUAUGAUCGUUUGUGAUUCCUACAACUAUGUUCUCUAGGUAUGUGGAAACGCAUAUUGAUCCUAAGAGAGACAUACGAUCAUCAUCGUACUUAAUCACAAUUAUUCAUCUCAUGUAUUAAUUAAUAAAUAGGAUUAAUUGCAAAUAUAAUUAACGGACUUCUUUCAUUCAUAAAUCAUUCAAAUAAGAAUGAAGUCCAUUAAUUAUUUGCCAUCUAAUUUGUGUUCCAUUAAUUAAACUAAUUUAACGAUUAAAUUAAAUAAUUAAUCCAACACUAUUCUUUGAAUUCAAAUUAAAUUAAUGGAUCAAUUAUCUAAUUGGGUUUAAUUGAUAAAUAAUUUCAAAAAUUAAAAAUCAAUUAAUUUUAAUAUUAAUCUCAGAAAAUCAAUAAAAGAAUUUUUUUUUUUUUUUUUUUUUUUUUUUUGUUGUCGCUGACCGGACCGGUCGGACCGGUUCGACCGGGCCGGUUCGGUCAGCUGAAAAACAGCAGCAAAAAUCGAAUUUUCUCAAAAUUAAAAAUUUUAUAUUUUCUGAAAUAUUCAAAAUAUUAAUUAAUAUUAAACCACCCAAUUUGAUAACACCAAAAAUUCAACAAUUCAACAAAUCGAAGCAUGCUUUCGAAAGCGAUAAACACGUUGACAAAUAAACGAUUAACCCGUGGCUCUGAUACCACUGUUGGGGAUCGUGCAUGUAUACGCAGCGGAAUUUAAAAAAAUUUCAUCGAACUAGUUUCGAUUACAUGCAAAACUAAUCACAUAGUCAACGUACCUUAACGCUUCCGCCAUACAUAUGGUAAUUAUCGAUUUAAUUAAAAAUACGUAAAACCGAAAAUCACGAAACAUGCUUAUUCAUCAUUCAAUAAAAUCGAAACACGUAAUCACAUAUGAUUCAUAAUCACAAAUUACAAUUCAUACAAACAUGUUCGAAUUAAUUUACGAUAGUUUCGAUUUGUUUACCUCUUGUAGCGUGAGAUUUCGACGAAUCGAAAUCAAGAACCAAUCACGUACAAGCUGCGAAUUUACCAAUCCUCGGGGCUGCAACUUCACGGCUGGAACCAGCUUAUCCAGCAAGCGACGAACGCCGGUGAAUGGCAGCAGCAGCGGCGGCGCGUGGCAGCGGCAGCGGCGGCGCGUGGGCGGCGCGUGCUGCGUAACAGCGGCGCGUGCGGCUUCGGCGGUGGAGCAGCGGCUUUCUUCUCCUCCAAUUAGGUUUCACCUCGUAUAUUUUGACCCACUCGAACUACAGCACUAGAUGUAAACGAGUUAGAUAAAUAACAAGAAUAAACGAAGGAAUAAAAGGGAGAAAACCGGCGGUUUCUGGCGAAGAUCGGCGGUGGCGCGGCGGAGAUGCAACGGCCGAGAGGAGGGGCUGAGCGGCUAGGGUUUUGUGCUGAAAAAAUCUGAUCUCAAAACUCUUUUUGAGGUCUAUUUAUACCUAGGGUUUUCAAACCUAGUGGGCUUAAGUCAUUGGGCUUGACCCACUGAUGCAUUAAGCCCAUUCCCUCGUCGGCCUCGUUUCUAAUAAACGAUCGUCCACAAAAUUAUAACAAAAUUAUAUUUGUGACGAGCUCAAAGUCCUCGUCGAUACGAGUGCCUCUUCGAAAUUUCCAAUUUCCAAAAUUGGAAACUUCCACUUCAGUGGACUUGCUAAAUCGGGAAACUUCCCAAUUUAGAAAGUUCACUAAAUUCCGCAUGUCUCUCUUUCUCUACGUUUAUUCCAAUUCGCAAUUCACAAUUACGAAUCUUGGAUUCAAUCAUAUUGACAUCCAACCGUUCAAAGAUUAACACAUUAAUCUAUGCUUGUUGUUAUCAAGGAUCUAUAUUACACGAGAAGUGUGACCCUCAAUGGUUCAGGUGUAUGCUAGCCGUGGGCUCACAACUCUUUGUGAUUCGAACAACACAUUGUUCUUAUACGAACUCCUCCCAAGAGUCCCGAUUAGAGUAAAACUCAUUUUACUUAAUCCCGAUCAAAUCGGUGCCCAACGAAUCAGGAUUGGCGUCUAGCAACUACGCAUCAUGAUUCCCUAGAUACAAAUGAAGUGCCUGCAAGAACCUUAUGAUAUAGUUAGCGUACAGUACGAUCCCUUCGUAGCACAUGUCCCGAUUGAACUAGAGGCAUUGGUUCACCGAGACCUCUUAUAAAGUUCAAUAACCGUGCGAACGUUCUAGGUAUUAUAAAUCCGUUCGUGUGCGACUUAGGGAAACACAUUUCCCUAAUCACCCCACUAUCAACUCUGGCCAGAGAUUCCAUGGAUUAUAAACCGUCAGAACACACAGGACAUCCAUGACUACUCAAGCGCUCGAAUCCCCUACUACAAUGCACAGACUUCACACUAGAUUUCGGAUUGCACGAACGUUGGCCCUUGGAGCGGUCCGCGGUGGGACUCAGGGACAGGUCACGAUACAAUCGGUCCUCUAGUGAAGUCACGGUGAUGUCUGGGUCUUAAGCACUAAUGGUGUACAACUAUAUCUUAGAAACCUAUUACUCGAUGAAUGAGAACCACUUAUAGAUUUCUAGGGCGAGGGAGUUCAGUGAACUCAUCCAGUAUGAGCACCCACUCAAGUAUGCCGAUGUCACAACACCGAGGACUGAUGAGACGCAGUACACAUACACUAAGUGCUAGUCUCAAAAGGGAAAGGCCGGUAUCCUCAUUAUUGGCGUAACCCAUCGACUAGGAACAAGGUUUAACAGUUACAUUACUUUGCUGAGUUAUCUCACGAUUCUACUAGAUCAACUCACAGUAAUAGAGUAACUCGUUAGGACUAUAUCUAUGCUGCUUGCAUGGGAUAACAGAUAUAGAAUGCCAAAUAAGAUAUUUUAUUAUUACGAACGCAAAACGAUUGUUUUAUUACAAGGAAAAGAGAAAGACCACAACCACAAGUUGGCUUGUUGGUCACCUACUCUAACAAAAACAUAUAGUGGAGUGUAGAAAUAACACUCUACGUUUACGUUUACGUGGAUUUUUUUUGGAUUAAUUUAUGUUUGUGUUUUAAUUGGUGGAUAUUUGUAUCUUAUAGGUACAAAUCGAUAAUUAGGUGUCCAUGAUGCAAAAAUGAUCAUAGAGUAAGAAAAGAGUUGCAAUUAGGAAAAUAAAAUCGAAUUAGAAAAGAGGAUCCCUCAACAUCUUCGGUAGUGUCUAUGGAGUCGAGCAUAACUUUCUCAUCCGGACUCCAAAUCAACUAGUUCCGGCGGCAUUAGAAAGCUAUUUCAGCUAGCUAUAAUUCAUUUCUAACGUCAAAUUUCCAAAUUUAGACUCGAACAUGGUCAAAAUUUGAUUCCAAACACGAUCAUGAAAAUACGUGCUACAGUUCGAGGACAUGAAUGCGCAUCAAUAAAUGUGCACAAAAACACUCGCUAGAAAAGAUACACACAUAAGUAACUGUACAAAAGCAUGCACAAAAGUACUCACGCAAAAGUGCAUUCCCUAAAGGGGCAAUUUGCUAUAGGUCCUCCUCUAAGAGAUUAUAUGUGUUAAAAUCCAUCUAAUAAACUCUAAUUUCCAGCAUAUUUUAUUAUUUGUAAUUUGUCAAAAAUACCCCUAUCAAUAUAUGGUAAAAUAAAUCCUCAAAAUCAAAUCCCCUAUUUUUCUCCCUAUAUUAUACAGCAAAUUCGAAAAUUAGGACUGCAAAUCUCUUGAUAUCGAUUCUUCCCUGUUUUUUUAAAACCAAAAUCUCCACAAAUUUUGAAGCCUUCCAUAGGUUUGGGUGUCUGAGCGUUUGCAAUUUACAAUGUCGUUUGCAGUUUGCCUUCAUUCCCUUUUCCUUCGUUCGAUUUGUCGUUUCCCAAUUUGCAUUCGUGCCGUUAGCUGUUUAGAAAUUGCUUGUUGUUCGGUAACAACUCAGGUAAUAAAAAACACACCACCGCUACGAACGCCGCGCCACUGCCGCAACCGCUCGUUUUUGUCUUUGUAAAAUGCAAAUAGCAAACUAAUAAUUAAAACUUGCAUUAUUGAAUUUAAAACAACAAACUACCUAUGAAUUCACCAAAUGCAAACAAUAAAUCGAACAAGUAAAAAAUCAGCAUCAUCUAAUUACAAACAAUAAAAUGAAAAUAUGAUAUGCAAUAUGUAAAUGCAAAUAAUAAAAAUAAAAACACAGAACAAAUAUAUCAUAAAUAUGCAAAAAAUAAUAAUAAAAUUAUAAAAAAUAUUCUAUCAAUGCAAAAAUUGCAAUUUGCAUAUUUGCAACAAAAUCUAUUGUUAUCGAUUGCAAUUUGCAGUUUGCAACAACAAUUUGAUUUUGCUGUUUCAUUAUUUUGUUUUUUGCUAUUUAUUGAACCAAAAUCAAUUAGAAAUACAAACAAACAUUAUAAACUCACUACAGAUAAAUACAAAACGAGAAAAAAAAACUCACAGUGCAAGCAAUGAGCGAUUUAUGUUUGUUGUCCGCUUUUAACUCUUUCACCGAAAAAUCAUCUAAUAAUAUAAAGCUUCAAUUUUUUUUUUCCUUCCCUACAACAUAAUCCAAAAGAAUUCGAAUUCCAAAGGGAAAAAAAAUCGAACAGAUGUAAUCGAGAAAGGGUAUAGAGAAAGAAAGAAGUUGAUCGGAAAAAAAAAUAAUCAAAAAGUGUUGAUCGAAAAGAAGAAAAAAAUCAGAAGAAAAAAGCCAGAGACACGAGAUGGAGAUGGAGAUGAAGAGAAAUAUGAGAGAUUAUAUAGGAAGAAAGAUACGUAAGAUUGAAGAGAGAGAGAGAGUGUAUGAGAUUUGUUUUCUUAUUAAUUGAGGGUGUUUAUGUCCAUAUACUAAUUGUUUUAUUUUAUUUAUAUUAUUUUUAUGUGAUAAAGGACCUAUGCCUAUAUUCAUCUAGCAACUAGGAUCUCUACCUAUAUAAGUCCAGAAUAAGGGGUGUCUAGCCAAUUUUCCCUUCCCUAAAAGGAUCAUGAAAACACAAACUACAAUCCUACGACAUUAAUACAAUCAACAAACAUGCACAAACACACUCGCUCAACUGGACAUGCACAAACGUACAUGUAAACAAACAUGCGCAAAAGUGAAUUCGCAACAAUGUUCUUAAAAACACGAACUACAACACUAGGACAUUAAUACGCAUAACCAAACAACAACAAAAACACUAGAUACAAAAGAUAUAGUGGAGUGUAGAAGUAACACUCUACGUUUACGUUUACGUGGAUUUUUUUUUGGAUUAAUUUAUAUUUCUUUUUUAAUUUGUGGAUUUAGUAUUUUAUAGGUACAAAUCGAAAAUUAGGUGUCCAUGAAGCAAAAAUGAUCAAAGAGUAAGAAAAGAGUUGCAAUUAGGAAAAUAAAAUAAAAUUAGAAGUUUGUGCAUUGUAGUAGGGGAUUCGAGCGCUUGAGUAGUCAUGGAUGUCCUGUAUGUUCUGACGGUUUAUAAUCCAAGGAAUCUCUGGUCAGAGUUGAUAGUGGGGUGAUUAGGGAAAUGUGUUUCCCUAAGUCGCACACGAACGUAUUUAUAAUACCUAGAACGUUCGCACGAUGAUUGAAGUUUAUAAGAGGUGUCGGUGAACCAAUGCCUCUAGUUCAAUCGGGACAUGUGCUGCGAAAGGGUCGUACUGUACGCUUACUAUAUCAUAAGGUUCUUGCAGGCACUUCACUUGUAUCUUGGGAGGAGUUCUUAUAAGAACAAUGUGUUGUACGAAUCACAAAGAGUUGUGAGCCCACGGCUAGCAUACACCUGAACCAUUGAGGGUCACACUUCUCGUGUAAUAUAGAUCCUUGAUAACAACAAGCAUAGAUUAAUAUGUUAAUCUUUGAACGAUUGGAUGUCGAUAUGGUUGAAUCCAAGAUUCGUAAUUGUGAAUUUCGAAUCGGAAUAAACGUGGAGAAAGAGAGAAAUGCGGAAUUUAGUGAACUUUCUAAAUUGGGAAGUUUUUAGCAAGUCCGCUGAAGUGGAAGUUUCCAAUUUUGGAAAUUGGAAAUUUGGAAGAGGCACUCGUAUCGACGAGGACGUUGAGCUCGUCACAAAUAUAAUUUUGUUAUAAUUUUGUGAAUGAUCGUUUAUUAGAAACGAGGCCGACGAGGGAAUGGGCUUAAUGCAUCAGUGGGUCGAGCCCAAUGACUUAAACCCACUAGGGUUGAAAACCCUAAGUAUAAAUAGACCUCAAACAAUAGUUUGAGAUCAGAUUUUUUGCACAAAAACCCUAGCCGCGCAAGCCCUAGCCGCUCAUCCCUCUCGGUCGUUGCUGCCCCACCGCGCCGCCGCCGAUCGCCGCAGGAAACCGCCGGUUUUCUCCUCUCUACUCCUUCGUUUAUUCUUGUUGUUUAUCUAACUCGUUUACAUCUAGUGCUGUAGUUCGAGUUGGUCAAAAAUACGAGGUGAAACCUAAUUGGAGAGGAGCUGCUGCCCCGACGGAAUCCACGCAUCGCCGCUGCACCGCCGCACGCGCCGCUGCACCGUCCAUGCGCCGCCGCCGCUGCUGCCACGCGCCGCCGUCCACCGCCUGCUGGAUCAGUUUGCUCCAGCCGUGAGUUGCAGCCCCGAGGAUUGGUAAUUUACGUGUAGUUUUUUUUUGGAUUAAUUUAUAUUUAUGUUUUAAUUGGUGGAUUCAGUAUCUUAUAGGUACAAAUCGAAAAUUAGGGGUCCACGAAGCAAAAAUGAUCAAAGAGUAACAAAAGAGUUGCAAUUAGGAAAAUACAAGAAAAUUGGAAGAGUGGAUCCAUAAACAUCUUUGCUAGUGUCCACGAAGUCAAGCAUAACUUUCUCAUCCGGACUCCAAAUCAACUGGUUCUGGCGACAUUAGGAAGCUAUUUCAGCUGGCUACAAUUCUUGUCAAACGUCAAAUUUCCGAAUUCGGACUCGAAUAUGGUCAAAAUUGGAUUCCAAAAGGGAUCACGAAAAUACGUACUACAGUUCGAGGACAUGAAUGCACUUCAAGAAACAUGCACAAAAACACUUUCUAGAAAAGAUACGAACGUAAGUAAAAGUACAAAAUCAUGCACACAUGUAUUCACUCAAAAGUGCAUUCGCAAAAAGGAUCAUGAAAACACAAACUAAAAUCCUAGGACAUUAAUACAAAUCAACAGACAUGCACAAACACACUCGCACAAAUGGACAUGCACAAACAAACAUGUAGAAAAACAUGCGCAAAAGUGCAUUCGUAACAACGUUCUUUAAAACAUUACAACACUUGGACUUUAAUACGCAUAACCAAACAAUAGCAAAAACACUAGAUACAAAAGAUAUAGUGGAGUAUGGAAAUAACACUCUACGUUUACGUUUAAGUGGAUUUUUUUUUGGAUUAAUUUAUAUUUCUAUUUUAAUUGGUGGAUUUUAGUAUCUUAUAGGUACAAAUGGAAAAUUAGGUGUCCGUGAAGCAAAAAUGAUCAAAGAGUAAGAAAAGAGUUGCAAUUAGGAAAAUAAAAUCAAAUAAGAAGAGAGGAGCCCUCAACAUCUUUGGUAGUGUCGACGAAGUCGAGCAUAACUUUCUCAUCCAGACUCCAAAUCAAAUGGUUCUGGCAGCAUUAUAAAGCUAUUUCAGCUGGCUACAAUUCCUAUCUAACGUCAAAUUUCCAAAUUCGGACUCGAACAUGGUCUAAAUAUGAUUCCAAAAGCGAUCACGAAAAUACGUACUACAGUUCGAGGACAUGAAUGCGCAUCAAGAAACAUGCACAAAAAGACUCGCUAGAAAAGGUACGCACAAAAGUAAAAGUACAAAAGCAUGCAAAAAAGUACUCACGCAAAAGUGCAUUCGCAAAAAGGAUCAUGAAAACACAAACUACAAUCCUAGGACAUUAAUACAAAUCAACAAACAUACACAAACACACUCGCUCAAAUGGACAUGCACAAACGUACAUGUAGAAAAACAUGCGCAAAAGUGCAUUCGCAACAACGUUCUUAAAAACAUUUCAACACUAGGACUUUAAUACGCAUAACCAAACAACAGCAAAAACACUAGAUACAAAAGAUACAGUGGAGUGUAGAAAUAACACUCUACGUUUACGUUUACGUGGAUUUUUUUUUUGGAUUAAUUUAUAUUUCUAUUUUAAUUGGUGGAUUUUGUGUCUUAUAGGUACAAAUCGAAAAUUAGGGGUCCACGAAACAAGAAUCAAAUAGUAACAAAAGAGUUGUAAUUAGGAAAAUACAAUAAAAUUAGAAGUGUGGAUCUCUAAACAUCUUUGGUAGUGUCCACGAAGUCGUGCGUAACUUUCCCAUCCGGACUCCAAAUCAACUGGUUCUGGCGGCAUUAGGAAGCUAUUUCAGCUGGCUACAAUUCCUCAAAUUUCCAAAUUCGGACUCAAACAUGGUCAAAAUUGGAUUCCAAAAGCGAUCACAAAAAUACGUACUAUAGUUCAAGGACAUGAAUGCGCAUCAAGAAACAUGCACAAAAACACUCGCUAAAAGUACAUAAGUAAAAGUACAAAAGCAUGCACAAAAGUACUCACGCAAAAGUGCAUUCGCAAAAAGUAUCAUGGAAACACAAACUACAAUCGUAGGACAUUAAUACAAAUCAUCAAACAUGCCCAAACACACUGGCUCAAAUGGACAUGCACAAACGUACAUGUAGAAAAACAUACGCAAAAGUGCAUUAAUAACAACGUUGUUAAAAACAUUACAAUACUAGGACUUUAAUACGCAUAACCUAACAACAGCAAAAACACUAGAUACAAUGGAGUGUAGAAGUAACACUCUACGUUUACAUUUAUGUGAAUUUUUUUUGGAUUAAUUUAUAUUUCUGUUUUAAUUGGUGGAUUAGUAUCUUAUAGGUACAAAUCAAAAAUUAGAUGUCCGAGAAGCAAAAAUGAUCAAAGAGUAACAAAAGAGUUGCAAUUUUAAAAUAAAAUAAAAGUAGAAGAGAGGAUCCCUCAACAUCUUUUUUGGUAGUGUCCACGAAGUUAAGCAUAACUUUCUCAUCCGGACUCCAAAUGUCCAAAUUCGGACUCGAACAAGGUCAAAAUUGGAUUCCAAAAACGAUCACGAAAAUACAAACUACAGUUCGAGGACAUGAAUGCGCAUCAAGAAACAUAAGUAAAUACAAAUAAGUAAAUGUACAAAAAGCAUGCACAAAAGUAUUCACACAAAAGUGCAUUCGCAAAAAGGAUCAUGAAAACACAAAUAAAAAUCCUAGGACGUUAAUACAAAUCAACAAACAUGCACAAACACACUCGCUCAAAUGGACAUGCACAAACGUACAUGUAGAGAAACAUGCGUAAAAGUGAAUUCGCAACAACGUUCUUAAAAACACGAACUACAACACUAGGACUUUAAUACGCAUAACCAAACAUCAGCAAAAACACUAGAUACAAAAGAUACAGUGGAGUGUAGAAAUAACACUCUACGUUUACGUUUACGUGCAUUUUUUUUAGAUUAAUUUACAUUUCUGUUUUAAUUGGUGGAUUUAGUAUCUUAUAGGUACAAAUCGAAAUUAGGUGUUCAGGAAGCAAAAAUGAUCAAAGAGUAAUAAAAGAGUUGCAAUUAGGAAAAUAAAAUAAAAUUAGAAGAGAGGAUCCCUCGACAACUUUGGUAGUGCCCACGAAGUCGAGCAAAACUUACUCAUUCGGAUUCCAAAUCAACUAGUUCUGGCGGCAUUAGGAAGCUAUUUAAGUUGGCUACAAUUCCUCAAAUUUCCAAAUUCGGACUCGAACAUGGUCAAAAUUGGAUUCCAAAAGCAAUCACGAAAAUACGUACUACAGUUCUAGGACAUGAAUGCGCAUCAAGAAACAUGCACAAAAACACUCGCUAGAAAAGAUACGCACAUAAUUAAAAGUACAAAAGCAUGCACAAAAGUACUGGCGCAAAAGUGCAUUCGCUAAAAGGAUCAUGAAAACACAAACUACAACCCUAGGACAUUAAUACAAAUCAUCAAACAUGCACAAACACACUCGCUGAAAUGGAAAUGCACAAACGUACAUGUAGAAAGACAUACGCAAAAGUGCAUUCGCAACAACAUUCUUAAAAACGUUACAACACUAGAAUUUAAUACGCAUAACCAAACAACGCCAAAAACACUAGAUACAAAAGAUACACUAGAGUGUAGAAAUAACACUCUACGCUUACUUUACUUCGAUUUUUUUUUGGAUUAAUUUAUAUUUAUGUUUUAAUUGCUGGAUUUAGUAUCUUAUAGUUACAAAUCGAAAAUUAGGUGUCCAUGAAGCAAAAAUGAUCAAAGUGUAAGAAAAGAGUUGCAAUUAGGAAAAUAAAAUCAAAUUAGAAGAGAGCAUCCCUACACAUCAUUGGAAGUGUCCACGAAGUCGAGCAUAACUUUCUCAUCCAGACUCGAAUAUGGUCAAAAUUGGAUUCCAAAAGCGAUCACAAAAAUACAUAAUACAGUUUGAAGACAUGAAUGCGCAUCAAGAAACAUGCACAAAAACACUCGCUAGAAAAGAUACGCACAUAAGUAAAAGUAUAAAAGCAUGCACAAAAGUACUAACACAAAAGUGCAUUCGCUAAAAGGAUCAUGAAAACACAAACUACAAUCCUAGGACAUUAAUACAAGUCCACAAACAUGCACAAACACACUCGCUCAAAUGGACAUGCACUAACGUACAUGCGCAAAAGUGCAUUUGCAACAACAUUCUUAAAAACAUUACAACACUAGGACUUUAAUACGCAUAACCAAACAACAGCAAAAACACUAGAUACAAAAGAUAUAGUGGAUUUUGGAAAUAAUACUCUACGUUUACGUUUACGCGGAUUUUUUUUUUGGAUUAAUUUAUAUUUUUGUUUUAAUUAGUGGAUUAAGUAUCUUGUAGGUAAAAAUCGAAAAUUAGGUGUCCAUGAAGCAAAAAUGAUCAAAGAGUAAGAAAAGAGUUGCAAUUAGGAAAAUAAAAUUAAAUUAGAAAAGAGGAUCCCUCAACAUCUUUGGUAGUGUCCACGAAGUCGAGCAUAACUUUCUCAUCCGAACUCCAAAGCAACUGGUUCCGGCGGCAUUAGAAAGCUAUUUCAGCAAGCUACCGUUCGUGUCUAACGUCAAAUUUCCAAAUUCGGACCCGAACAAGGUCAAAAUUGGGUUCCAAAAGCGAUCACGAAAAUACGUACUACAGUUCGAGGACAUGAAUGCGCAUCAAGAAAUAUGCACAAAAACACUCGCUAGAAAAGAUACGCACAUAAGUAAACGUACAAAAGCAUGCAUAAAAGUACUCACACAAAAGUGCAUUCGCAAAAAGAAUCCUGAAAACAAAAACUACAAUCCUAGGACAUUAAUACGAAUCAACAAACAUGCACAAACACACUCGCUGAAAUGGACAUGCACAAACGUACAUGUACAAAAACAUGCGCAAAAGUGCAUUCGCAACCAGGUCUUAAAAACAUUACAACACUAGGACUUUAAUACGCAUUACCAAACAACAGCCAAAACACUAGAUGCAAGAAAAAUGUAACGGCCCACAACCUAACAGCAGAAUCCAAUCGGAUCACCACCAUUAAGUUAGGGAUGCUAAUGUUUUUAUAUAUAAUUAAACAUUAUGGUUAAUACAAAAAUACAUUAUAUGCUUCGAAAAGAAAUCAAACUUUGUAGUUUCUCAAAACCUGUACAUAUAUAUGUAUUCAUUGUUUACAAAAUUAUAUUGUACAAAAACCAUAAUAGAGCGGCUAACAAAAUGAAAUCAGAGUUUUUAGCUCGGCGACAAAAAUGGCUCGAAGCAUGGCAUAUUAACAAAUCUCUGACUGGCCGCUCUUGGCUAGGUCAACUUCUAAACAUGUACAUCAUUACCUGCAUCAUAAGAACCUAAUGAGCUAAUAGCUCAGCAAGUUGAAACUGAUGUAAUAGCAAUAUAUCACAUAACACGUUAUUCUCUCAACAUACACAAUAUCACAUAUAACUUCAUUCAUGAUCUUUUCUUUUGAAAUCCUUCUCUUUUUCUAGAACCCUUGAAGUGUGGUACUUGACUGAUAGCAAUAGGCUUUGGUUUUGGGAACCUACUCAUCAUAUUUGGCCAAUAGAUAAUACGGGGUUUCCAUACCGGCCUUUCGACCUCAGGUAUUAGCCGUAUUUUAUUUCAUUAAUUGUGGGUUUUCCAUACUAGUCUUUCGACCUCAGGUAUUUGCCACCAUGUGUUGGGUCCGCCGGUCCCUCCCGCGUCCCUUGCCUACUCGACCAUCAAUCAAGUACCAUACUCCCAUUUUUUAAAACAUAUUCUUUCAUAUCCCUAUGACUCAUCAAUCAUUCAAACAUCGUG
rnacentral:lncRNA from 1 species